GAAUAAAACUACACGACAAAAUCAUUCUCGAGCAAUUCAACAUACAAUUGACUUGUACAUUAAUAAUUUACAAGAGUCCUUGAGAAAUGGAAGGAUGACAUUGUCAGAAUAUUUGUAGGCAGUAGUUGAACGCACAAAUAUUCGACGGGAGCUGAGACAACGUGGCUCAUAAUUUGGAAGUGUAGAAAACCAAAGUUAAAGAGAUACCAGCAAAUGUAAACUUUCUUAAAUAUAAAUAAAAGUUAUACUUAUAACUUC